rnacentral:rRNA from 1 species
GGGUAGGGCGGGGUGCUAUACAUGCAGUCGAGCGAACAGAUAAGGAGCUUGCUCCUUUGAAGUUAGCGGCGGACGGGUGAGUAACACGUGGGUAACCUACCUAUAAGACUGGGAUAACUUCGGGAAACCGGAGCUAAUACCGGAUAACAUUUGGAACCGCAUGGUUCUAAAGUGAAAGAUGGUUUUGCUAUCACUUAUAGAUGGACCCGCGCCGUAUUAGCUAGUUGGUAAGGUAACGGCUUACCAAGGCGACGAUACGUAGCCGACCUGAGAGGGUGAUCGGCCACACUGGAACUGAGACACGGUCCAGACUCCUACGGGAGGCAGCAGUAGGGAAUCUUCCGCAAUGGGCGAAAGCCUGACGGAGCAACGCCGCGUGAGUGAUGAAGGGUUUCGGCUCGUAAAACUCUGUUAUUAGGGAAGAACAAAUGUGUAAGUAACUGUGCACAUCUUGACGGUACCUAAUCAGAAAGCCACGGCUAACUACGUGCCAGCAGCCGCGGUAAUACGUAGGUGGCAAGCGUUAUCCGGAAUUAUUGGGCGUAAAGCGCGCGUAGGCGGUUUCUUAAGUCUGAUGUGAAAGCCCACGGCUCAACCGUGGAGGGUCAUUGGAAACUGGGAAACUUGAGUGCAGAAGAGGGAAAGUGGAAUUCCAUGUGUAGCGGUGAAAUGCGCAGAGAUAUGGGAGGAACACCAGUGGGCGAAGGCGGACUUUCUGGUCUGUAACUGACGCUGAUGUGCGAAAGCGUGGGGAUCAAACAGGAUUAGAUACCCUGGUAGUCCACGCCGUAAACGAUGAGUGCUAAGUGUUAGGGGGGUUCCCCCCCUUAGUGCUGCAGCUAACGCAGUAAAGCACUCCGCCAGGGGGGGGGCGGACGGCAGGGUGGAGCUCUGGGGAAUUGAGUGGGGACCGCCCCCACCGGGGGGCAGGCGGUUGAUUUCAAACAAAGGCGAGAA